rnacentral:tRNA from 1 species
UCCGUGGUGGCUCAAUGGUGAGAGCAUCGCACGGGUAAUGCGAAGACGUGGGUUCAUUCCCCACCUGCGGCCAG